rnacentral:ncRNA from 1 species
ACAGGGGUGCUUUUAGCUGAGAUAAACCCUUAUCACCUGAUCUAGGUAAAGCUAGCGUAGGGAGUUCAAAAG